UUAAGUGAACAAGGGCAUACGGCGGAUGCCUUGGCGCCAAGAGCCGAUGAAGGACGCGGUAAGCUGCGAAAAGGCAUGGGUAGGAGCAAGCAUCCUGUGAUCCAUGCAUAUCCGAAUGGGGCAACCCACCAUCAGUCAUGUGAUGGUACGAAAGAGGCAGACCUGGGGAACUGAAACAUCUAAGUACCCAGAGGAAAAGUAAUCAAUUGAGAUUCCCUAAGUAGCGGCGAGCGAAAGGGGAAGAGCCCAAACCAGAUAACUUCGGUUGUCUGGGGUUGAGGACCGGCAAAAAGAGGAAACUUCUUAGUCGAAUGGUUUGGAAAGGCCAUGCACAGAAGGUAAAACACCUGUAGGCGAAAAGAAGUCAAUCGGGCUGGUAUCCAGAGUACUGCGAGACACGUGAAACCUUGCAGGAAGCAGGGGGGACCACCCUCCAAGGCAAAAUACUACUUGGCGACCGAUAGCGCAUAGUACCGUGAGGGAAAGGUGAAAAGAACCCCGGGAGGGGAGUGAAAUAGAACCUGAAACCGUAUGUCUACAAGCAGUCGAAGCACCUUAAGAGUGCGACGGCGUGCCUAUUGAAGAAUGAACCGGCGAGUUACAUUAUGUUGCGAGGUUAAGUGGGAGACACGGAGCCGAAGCGAAAGCGAGUCUUAAUAGGGCGACUAGUAACAUGGUGUAGACCCGAAACCGCAGUGAUCUAUCCAUGGUCAGGUUGAAGCGCAGGUAAAAAUGCGUGGAGGACCGAACCCGUGAGUGUUGAAAAACUUUGGGAUGAACCGUGGAUAGGGGUGAAAUGCCAAUCGAACGCGGAGAUAGCUGGUACUCCCCGAAAUAGCUUUAGGGCUAGCCUCAGGGAAGAUUAUAGACGGUAGAGCACUGAUCUGGCAAGGGGGCGUAAAGCCUACCGACCCUAGUCAAACUUCGAAUGGCUAUAAUUAAGACCCUGGGAGUCAGACUGCGAGUGAUAAGACCCGUAGUCAAGAGGGAAACAGCCCAGACCGCCGACUAAGGUCCCCAAUGCUGUACUAAGUGGAAAAGGAUGUAAGACUUCAUAAACAACCAGGAUGUUGGCUUAGAAGCAGCCACCAUUAAAAGAGUGCGUAAUAGCUCACUGGUCGAGAGGCCUUGCGCCGAAGAUGUCCGGGGCUCAAGUACAGAACCGAAGUCGCGGCAGGAUUAUAUAAUUCUGGGUAGGGGAGCGUUGUAUAUCCGACUGAAGGUGUACCGGAAGGAGCGCUGGAGGAUAUACAAGAGAGAAUGCCGGUAUGAGUAGCGAAAAGAACAGUGAGAAUCUGUUCCACCGAAAGCCUAAGGUUUCCUGAGCAACGCUCGUCGACUCAGGGUAAGUCGGGACCUAAGCCGAGGCAAAAAGCAUAGGCGAUGGACAACAGGUUAAUAUUCCUGUACCGCUUCAAAUCGUUUGAGCAAUGGAGUGACACAGAAGGUAGCUUGAGCACGCGAAUGGAUGUGCGUGUCGAAGGUGGUAGGUUGCAGUAUAGGCAAAUCCGUACUGUAUAAGACCGAGAACUGAUAGAUAGACGAUACUUCGGUAAAGUCAAAUUCAAGUGAGCCAUGCUGUCGAGAAAAGCUUCUAGUGAGAGAUGAGGCGCCCGUACCGAAACCGACACAGGUAGGCGGGGAGAGAAUCCUAAGGUGCGCGGGACAACCCUCGUUAAGGAACUCGGCAAAUUGUAUCCGUAACUUAGGGAUAAGGAUAGCCGGAGGAUGUGAAGGGAUUUACUUCUGGAGCGUCAGCCGGUGGCACAAGAGAGGCCCAAGCGACUGUUUAGCACAAACACAGGUGCCUGCAAAAGAGAAAUCUGACGUAUAGGUGCUGACACCUGCCCGGUGCUGGAAGGUUAAGAGGAGGGCUUAGAGGCAACUCGAAGGCUUGAAUUGAAGCCCCAGUAAACGGCGGCCGUAACUAUAACGGUCCUAAGGUAGCGAAAUUCCUUGUCGGGUAAG
rnacentral:rRNA from 1 species